AUUGAACGCUGGCGGCAGGCUUAACACAUGCAAGUCGAGCGGGGGAGGUUGCUUCGGGAACUGACCUAGCGGCGGACGGGUGAGUAAUGCUUAGGAGUCUGCCUAUUAGUGGGGGACAACAUUCCGAAAGGGAUGCUAAUCCCGCAUACGCCCUACGGGGGCAAGCAGGGGAUCUUCGGACCUUGCGCUAAUAGAUGAGCCUAAGUCGGACUAGCUAGUUGGUGGGGUAAAGGCCUACCAAGGCGACGAGCUGUAGCGGGUCUGAGAGGAUGAUCCGCCACACUCGGACUGAGACACGGCCCAGACUCCUACGGGAGGCAGCAGUGGGGAAUAUUGGACAAUGGGCGGAAGCCUGAUCCAGCCAUGCCGCGUGUGUGAAGAAGGCCUUUUGGUUGUAAAGCACUUUAAGCGAGGAGGAGGCUCUUAAGGUUAAUACCCUUGAUGAGUGGACGUUACUCGCAGAAUAAGCACCGGCUAACUCUGUGCCAGCCGCCGCAGUAACAC
rnacentral:rRNA from 1 species